ACUUUCAAUUCUUAUUGUACUAAAGAAGCUGCAACUGUAUGUCAGCUUUUCGAAACUGCAAAGAAUUUGUGAUUCAGGUGAUCUUUAAAGACGUUUGAGGAGAUGCAUCUGCCAAAGGAGAUGACAACAAUGUUCAAGAUUCGUGAUCCGAAAAGGGAACAAGUCAUGGUCACUAGUACACAUUGCAGGAUGGAUCCAUCUGAGAUGUUUGCACGUUCAAGCUCAUCAAACCGACCUAGAUGCUUCUCAGUCUCCAAAAAAGGGACUACAUGAUUAUGCUCUUGAGGUGAUCUCAGAUGAUGUAUUUGUGAUGAUCUCAGAUGAUGUAUGUGAUAUGAUCUCAGUUUGAUAAAUCUCUGAGAGUCUAGUUAAAUGUGUCUGGAUACCAAUGUUAGUUCCGGAUUGAUUUUUGAAUUCUAGAUUUCUUCUUAUCCAAAACACAAAUCAAUAUAAAUCCGAUAAGACAUCA